rnacentral:misc_RNA from 1 species
GUAGGCUCUGAUGAACCUAGCUUCUGAAUAAGAACUUGUAGACAUCCACAAAGCAAGCCUUGCAAUUCCCCUUGUCUCUCCCUUUCAUCAGAUGAGAGUUUUUGACCCUCAAGGGUAUUGUGCAACUCCAUCAUGAUGACAGGUACCAGUUGCAGCACCAUUGAGGCCGUCUCAUCAGUUGCACACCUCACAACUUCAUUCAAUGUUUCAUACGCAGCAGUCCUCAAUCGUG